rnacentral:rRNA from 1 species
GACGAACGCUGGCGGCGUGCUUAACACAUGCAAGUCGAACGAUGAAGCCGGAGCUUGCUCUGGUGAAUUAGUGGCGAACGGGUGAGUAACACGUGAGUAACCUGCCCUUGACUCUGGGAUAACUGCGGGAAACUGUAGCUAAUACCGGAUACGACCCUCGGAGGCAUCUCCUGGGGGUGGAAAGAAUUUCGGUCAAGGAUGGACUCGCGGCCUAUCAGCUAGUUGGUGAGGUAAAGGCUCACCAAGGCGACGACGGGUAGCCGGCCUGAGAGGGUGACCGGCCACACUGGGACUGAGACACGGCCCAGGCUCCUACGGGAGGCAGCAGUGGGGAAUAUUGCACAAUGGGCGCAAGCCUGAUGCAGCAACGCCGCGUGAGGGAUGACGGCCUUCGGGUUGUGAACCUCUUUUAGCAGGGAAGAAGCGAAAGUGACGGUACCUGCAGAAAAAGCACCGGCUAACUACGUGCCAGCAGCCGCCGUAA